GAUGAUGAUAGGGGACCUCAUCGCGGGGUUGGGGGACUGGCAGAAAAUGUCACAAGCAAACAGCACCAUCACAGAGAACAUAUGGACGCCACUACAGCAUCUGCACAGGCUCUAUUCGGACUGACAGCAAAAACUGGAUUAAAUUUACUUUGACUUUUUUUUUGGGCCAUACCGGAUCUAUCAAGGAAACAGUCUUGGCAUAACCAGCAGGAUCAGAUGACUCAGGCGGACUCCUCACUGGCCGCAGCAUUGUGUAACACCAGCCAGUGGCGUGUUAAUCGUCCUGGACUGUCUGGAGGAGACAUCCUGUCCUGUACUGGAUCGGCACAAACCGGCCAAGAGAAUUAAAGCUUUGUGCUUUGAUGAAUUUUAGCCAAGAAUGAUCAUUUGGGGUCGAAGCCAAAUAGAGAUAAAAACAAAAACAAAAAAGGACAUAAAAAUGUAACAACGGCAGGGUGUGUCUCUCUCUCUCUCCCUCUUUCCCACUUCCUCCCCCCCUGUGAAUGAGCGUCUAGGCAAAGUGUCUCAUGGUCAGAGCAGGUGUAGAAGGUUCAGGGUGCACGAUGGACAGUAAGGAUGUCGGGCUGAGAAAGCACUGAGAGUGUAAAUCAGAUGUUGAAGCAUGAUGAGGGGGGGCGGUUAAAAUGAAGAAUUAAACAGGAUGUUGAAGGCGAAAUUUUGGGUGGUGAGAGAAUCUGCGACGCUCUGCUGAUGAGAGAUUUUUAAGCCGAACCUGUCGAGCAUUUCUGCUGUAAUUUCACAUACUUGAUUGUUAAAAAAAAAAAGUGUCAGAAAUCAGGGAAAAUGAACUGAAAAACAAGGUUACUCCAGGCAUGCAUGCUCAAAAAGUGGAAACAGACAAAAGGAGAGUGGUACUUGAUGAUGCACCCCUUACUAUUGUUCAGAAUAAAAAAAAGAAAAGAAACAACACCCACUUGCAGAGGCAUCUCCAAGUGUUGUGAAUAUGUAUUUGUGUUUACAACAGCACAGAUUUAUUGUGUACUACUCGAGCCACACCCAGCAAGAGCUCAAACCUCUCAGCCAAGAUGCAACAAAUCACCCUUCCUCCUUUCCCUGCCUGCCUGUUCCUCUUUUUUCUUUUUUUUCUUUUUUGGUAUUGUUUACAGGAAGCAGCUGAAGCCACAUAACACCUCUCCACGUCCACGACCUGUCAAGUCUCACUCAUCAUCUUAUCUAUGUUUUCUUAGGUUCACCGCGUCCACAGCAACAGCAACAACCGUUCCUCCAAGUCACGGAUGAUGGCGUGAGAGCUGUUAGCCAGAAAGUAAAGCAACCAAAAACAGUCCAUUUUUAAAAGAGAAAGCUUUUAAGAGUACAGCAGCACGUGGCCUUGGUUGUGCUAAAAAAUUAAUUGUCUUGUGAGCAGAGUUCAAAUUCAGCUCAGAUGAACAAAGUUAUCAGGACCUAUGCAUGAAAAUUCCCAAUGACUGCAAAAAAAAAGAGAAAAAAAAACCUGAGUCCUGCCAUGAGAAGAUAAAACCUGUUGCUAGUGGCAACAGCACAGCGACCAGCAGAUCCCAAUGACACUGCCAUCACUGUGUACAUGAUAAAUGAGUCUUUUCAUAGCUUUUUCAACUGAAUACUUUUGGAUUUCUGAUGUUGUCGGGUAAAAAAAAGGUGAUUUUAAUGAAUGACCCUCACUCUGAAGGCUGAUAUUUUAUAGAUUUUGGACUGUGAAACCAUUUAAAUUCCCUUUAAAAAGCCUGUCAUGAAGGUAAAAAGAAAAAUGGUUCCUCUUAGUUGAUAGCAGUGACCUGUUUUAGUAUUAUUUCUUUCAUUAUCUAUUCAUUAUUUUAAUUAUGAGCCUCGGUAAGGUCUUGUGCAUAAAGUGUUCCCUGUGGUGGUGCAAAUGUUUGAUCAGGUUUUUCUUUCAUUACACCCACAUGUCUUUUGCUGUACAUACUGUAUGUGUCUCUAAUUUAAAAAAAAAAAAAAAAGGGUUCAUCUUGUUAAGUAUGAACAUGGAAACAUUGAAUAGACGUCUAAGAAGAGAAGUUUCUGUAGCAGGACAAACCAAUGUUAUUACACUGCAAACAGGACUGUGAGAUGCCAGUUUGUCAUUGUCAUGCUUCCCCUGGUCGGUGAUAAGACAGCGUUGAGGGAACAUUUGACACCAACAUGUUGACCUCUUGACCCCCUACCCUUAAAACAACUGAGGACAGAAACAGACCCCCUUGUUUCUGAAGUCCUGCAAAAAUGACAUAACCCCCCCCCCCCUCCCCUUCAAAAUGAACUGUUCAGAAUUGAAAAUGUUAAUCUCUGUGUGUGGUGAUUGUAUGUUAAACAUAUACGAGGGUGAAGAGGUCAGACGUUAUAUACACACAUGUAUUAGGUGUAAAAUAAAGGCUUGGCCUGGUGUAUUAACCCAAGCACUAACGUUCAGCGUAGCUAUAAGCGAGGCAGGUUUCGAGCUCGGAUCCUGUAUCCUGCACCAACGUGACGCCCAGCACUGCUUUAAUGCACAGCCAGCUGAUUCACUGUCUCUCCCCCUUGUGAGACUGUACGAUCAUACGGCCGUUGGCUACUUGAAUCAACUCUGACCAAAAAUGGCAUCAAGGAAGAAGAAGAACAUUUAAAAAAAAAGAAAAAAGAAAAAGAGAAAAAGGUCAGAAACACCACAAAUGAGGAGAUGCUGCCACGCCUGGAAGACAUUUCCCUCCAACUCAAGCUGAACCUAAUCAAUGUAUGUUGCUCAUUAGAAAAUGAAAAAGAAACUGCAUAGUAAGCAUUACUGAUGGAAAGCUGUUUGAGAUUUAUUUCUGUCUUGUCCUGUGUGCUUUGUCGUUAUUAUUAUUAUUAAAAAUGCUUAAAUGAUUAAACCGGUCUAAGCACGGUCAGGCUAAACUGAAAACAACAACAGUCUGUUUGUUGUGUCCUCGCUAAUCUUUUUCUCUGUGUCUGAAGAGUCCUUUUGUGAGAACUUUUAUUUCUUUGCAUGCAUGCCUCUGUGUGAUGUUGUGUGUUUUUGCUUCACUGUACGUGUCUCUAAAAAUGCAGACAGAACCUUUAGAGAGAAAAAAAAAGGUACUGGAAUAAAAACACUUGCUUGA